rnacentral:rRNA from 1 species
GACGAACGCUGGCGGCGUGCUUAACACAUGCAAGUCGAACGGUGAAGCGCUUGCCUUUUUGGUGGGUGUGGAUGAGUGGCGAACGGGUGAGUAACACGUGAGUAACCUGCCCUCUUCUUCUGGAUAACCUCAUGAAAGUGGGGCUAAUACGGGGUAUUCCGGGUCUGUCGCAUGGCGGGUUUGGGAAAGAUUGCGCCUUUGGGUGUUUUCGGUGGGGGAUGGGCUCGCGGCCUAUCAGCUUGUUGGUGGGGUGAUGGCCUACCAAGGCGGUGACCGGUAGCCGGCCUGAGAGGGUGGACGGCCAAACUGGGACUGAGACACGGCCCAGACUCCGGCGGGAGGCAGCAGUGGGGAAUAUUGCACAAUGGGCGCAAGCCUGAUGCAGCGACGCCGCGUGAGGGAUGGAGGCCUUCGGGUUGUGAACCUCUUUCGCCAGUGAAGCAGGCCUGCUCCUGUGUGGGUGGGUUGACGGUAGCUGGAUAAGAAGCGCCGGCUAACUACGUG